rnacentral:misc_RNA from 1 species
AAGUCGUAACAAGGUCUCCGUAGGUGAACCUGCGGAGGGAUCAUUAGCAAUGCGCGCAGCAUGCCACGUGCGAACCGUGCGGGCUGCGGCCUGCCUGCCUACACACGCCAGACUGACCGCGCCGAUGCGCCAAAACUUUUAGCAACGGAUCUCUAGGCUCUC